rnacentral:hammerhead_ribozyme from 1 species
AUCCACCUAACGAGUCCAGGAUAGGAAGAAACGCGCGUCCUGGAU